CCUACGGGAGGCUGCAGUGGGGGAUAUUGCACAAUGGGGGGAACCCUGAUGCAGCGACGCCGCGUGGGUGAAGGAGUGCUUCGGCAUGUAAAGCCCUAUCGGCAGGGAAGAAGCAAGACGGUACCUGACUAAGAAGCCCCGGCUAACUACGUGCCAGCAGCCGCGGUAAUACGGAGGGGGCGAGCGUUAUCCGGAUUCACUGGGUGUAUAGGGAGCGUAGGGGGGGAUGCAAGCCAGGGGUGAAAGCCCGGGGCCCAACCCCGGGACUGCCCUUGGAACUGGAUGGCUGGAGUGCGGGAGAGGCAGGCGGAAUUCCUGGUGUAGCGGUGAAAUGCGUAGAUAGCAGGAAGAACACCGGCGGCGAAGGCGGCCUGCUGGACUGCGACUGACGUUGAGGCUCGAAAGCGUGGGGAGCGAACAGGAUUAGAUACCCUUGUAGUC
rnacentral:rRNA from 1 species